AGUGAACGCUGGCGGCGUGCUUAACACAUGCAAGUCGAACGAGAACGGGUUAUAGCUUGCUAUAAUUGUCAGCUAAGUGGCGCACGGGUGAGUAAUGUAUAGGUAAUAUGCCUCUUACUAAGGGAUAACAAAUGGAAACGACUGCUAAUACCCCAUAAGCCGAGAGGUAAAAGGAUUUAUCCGGCAUGGGAGGUACUCGCGUCCUAUCAGCUAGUAGGUGAGGUAACGGCUCACCUAGGCGAAGACGGGUAGCCGGCCUGAGAGGGCGAACGGCCACACUGGAACUGAGAUACGGUCCAGACUCCUACGGGAGGCAGCAGUGGGGAAUAUUGGGCAAUGGGGGGAACCCUGACCCAGCGACGCCGCGUGGGUGAAGAAAUCCUUCGGGAUGUAAAGCCCGGUUGUAUGGGAAGAGCGGAAGACGGUACCAUACGAGGAAGCCCCGGCAAACUACGUGCCAGCCGCCGCGGUAA
rnacentral:rRNA from 1 species